GGCUGGUCAUAGUGCAGUGGUUUUUACAACUAAUUGAUCACAAACAGUUACAAAUUUCUUUGUUCUUUUUCCAAUACCACUGUUCCACUUGACUAGCCAAUA
ensembl:misc_RNA Y_RNA Y RNA